AAGACUUGGCGGUGCUCUAUACCUUCUAGAGGAGCCUGUUCUAUAAUCGAUACCCCCCGAUCAACCUCACCACUUCUUGCCAAUACCGCCUGUAUACCUCCGUCGUCAACUGACCCCUCAAGGGUUAGUCAGUAAAAUGGGCUUUCCCCAAUAAGUCAGGUCAAGGUGCAGCGAAUGAAGUGGGAAGAAAUGGGCUACAUUUUCUACCUGUAGACUAUACGAAAAAUCAGUAUGAAAUCUGAUUGGAAGGCGGAUUUAGCAGUAAAAAGAGAUUAGAGAGCUCUUUUUAAACUGGCCCUAGAGCGCGCACACACUGCCCGUCACCCUCUUCAACCCCGCUUAAGCAUUUUCUUAAAUCAAUUAGGGAUUAAGAAGAGGCAAGUCGUAACAUGGUAAGUCCACCGGAAGGUGGACUUGG
rnacentral:rRNA from 1 species